AAGGAAACAAUAUAUAUAUAUGUAUUUUGCGCCUUAGAGUGGGAAAAAAUCACUUUCUUCCAAUACUCUCUUUCUUCUCACCAUCAUCAAUUAGUGAUAAUUAUUCGAAGGCAUAGACAACAACAACACACGAUGUGGAAUCUUGAUAAAGAUUGGAAACGUAUAGACAAAAAUUGGAUAAACAGCUGACUUUGGAUUCAGAUGGGAGGCCGUUUCGGAUGUUGGUUUUUAGGGGAUGUCCAAAAUCAAACAAAAACUCUAUUUGUCAUAUCGUUGUGUUGUGACAACAAGACGCUACAAAAUUUCUAAUCAACCGCGAUCAACAUAUCCAUCGGAAACUGCCUCAAGUUUGGUUUUGGUUUCAUUUUAAUCCAUUUGUCAAAUAAAUUUAUCUACCUAUGCAAAGUGCACCUAUUUGUUUUUAGGGUGCCCUUGUUUAACUGAAAUAUAGUUUCUUGUAAAGACCUUGAAAUCCCAAAUGUACUGGCUUUUAUUAAAUUGGAAUACUGAUUUUCUUUAUGUGCACAUGAUAUCUUGUACUUAGUUUUUAUUCUUCAUAAUUAGUAAAAUUUCCCAACUGUUAGAA